GAUGAACGCUGGCGGCGUGCCUAAUACAUGCAAGUCGAGCGAACAGACGAGGAGCUUGCUCCUCUGACGUUAGCGGCGGACGGGUGAGUAACACGUGGAUAACCUACCUAUAAGACUGGGAUAACUUCGGGAAACCGGAGCUAAUACCGGAUAAUAUAUUGAACCGCAUGGUUCAAUAGUGAAAGACGGUUUUGCUGUCACUUAUAGAUGGAUCCGCGCCGCAUUAGCUAGUUGGUAAGGUAACGGCUUACCAAGGCAACGAUGCGUAGCCGACCUGAGAGGGUGAUCGGCCACACUAGAACUGAGACACGGUCCAGACUCCUACGGGAGGCAGCAGUAGGGAAUCUUCCGCAAUGGGCGAAAGCCUGACGGAGCAACGCCGCGUGAGUGAUGAAGGUCUUCGGAUCGUAAAACUCUGUUAUUAGGGAAGAACAAAUGUGUAAGUAACUAUGCACGUCUUAACGGUACCUAAUCAGAAAGCCACGGCUAACUACGUG
rnacentral:rRNA from 1 species